AAACGCCCAAUUUACAGCGGAAGAUUAACACGGCCUCCUCCCCAACUGGCAGACCGGUGUGCGUACUGGUGCUGUUUAUAACCUGAUGGAGUGACAGCGGGGACGGCCAAUCACACAAGGAAUGCAGAGCCAAUGGAGGAGCUUGUGGGCAGGUCUAAACGAAAGCAAACUGGCUUCAGCUCGAGCGGCCGUUUCCGCUUGGUCCUAGUGCCUGACGAGUCUCUGUUUACCAUAGCGUAACAUGGUUUCCGGACGGUGAAAACUGCAGGGGACCAGAACGGCCUUUUGAAAAAGCGCAGGGGACAUGUCCCCUGUGUCCCCCCCCCCCCAAAUUACGUCCGUGGGUGUGACGGUGGCUUCCGUUCCUGCUGGCACUUUCUACAAAGGAUCACGCCUGUCUUCCUCACGUAUUUCUCUUUUUUUUUUCCUGUACAGUUGUGUUGUGUAAGGAGUUGAUGGUGGCAUCAACUCCUUACACAACGGAGUUGGGGGGUUGAAGACCAUCACCUGCAAGGGUCCAGGCACGGUAGGAAGCUGUGCAGUGAAGGGGAGAGAGACGGGUGGAGCUGGUGCCAUCACACCAAGUGGUGGUGCUUGGUGGAUGGCCUGAGGUUGCGGUCUCCCCUUGAGCUUCGCCUGCCCAGCAGUGUUUGGUGGCAGAAUGAACAGCUGGAUGGUGGUCUCACUCAGCACCUUCGCGUUGGUGACGACGCACUCUCUGAUGUGCUUGUUAGCACGCGUCACCACCGUGAAGCGCGACACCCUCCUGUCAUCACAGCGCACAGCGCUUGGGUAGAGCGCACACAGCCUGAUGAAGAUGGCCUCCACCACCCUGUUGCAGUCUGGCCACUGCAGGACAGUGAGCCCCAACGAAACACCUGCAAAUUACAACAGAAUCCAUAUCUUUAAUAUAAGAUUGUUUUCAAUGCGUGAUCCUUACUCACUGUGCUAUUUUUGUUGUUAAAUACAUUUCUUAAUAUCUGUGCAUAAUUAUGUUGUCUCGUCUUGUUUUUUUAAAUGUUUCUGUUUGUUUAAAUGACUAUUGUCUUAUGUAAUAUAUGUUUUGGACCCCAGGAAGAUAAGCUGGUCGUUAAGGCGUCAGCUAAUGGUGAUCCUUUAAUAAACUAAAGCUGGAGGCGAAAUUUCAGCCAGUUUCAGUUAUUUUAAAAGUUUAGGCAAUCAAGACCUUGUGUUUGCUUAAUUUAACAUACCUUUUGGUGCUCUCCACACCGGGUGCCACAAUCUUAGUGGCCCUGAAUCGUCCCUGUUUCAGGCAAUAUUGGUGACGUGGCGGGUAAACGGUCUUCCUCUUGUCAAACUCCCCCAACGCCUGCCACAGGGUGAUGAUCUGGGCGCACUCCUCUCCAGUCAAGGCCAGACGGUGGUCUCUGAGGCCAAACAGUACCUCUGCCAAGUCCUGCACAGCUCCAUACCCCUGAAUAUUGUCAGG
ensembl:lncRNA